CGCACAAAUAUUUUUUUGAGUUUGAAUUUGACACAUCAGAGUGCCCAGCAAUGACUGUGAGUAGGUGUGCGGCCCAUCCGAUAUAUGAAGAAGAAUUGGUCGAGUUUGACCAUCCAACAGAACAAUGCAGUAGCUCUAUUUCUGGGAAUAAUUUGAUUGAAUAUCACCAAGAUUUUGUUACAUCAGAAAUGGAUGCUGCUGCAACUAAGCGAAGCCUUUUUGAAUAUGAUGGAGCAGAAACUAGUGGAAUCGGUGAGGAACCACAACCCAAAAGACAGAAAAACUCAGAAUUCUCUUGAUCACCUUGAAGGGUAAUGAACAACCGCCUUCAUGCUGAGCUCUUAGCAGGUCGUUCCUGAAAUUGACAUUGAUGGUGGAAUCUUUGGUUGAAGUGCAUGUGAUUGAAGGGCUCUUUCUAGUUAAGUAGUUUAAAUAAUUCUGAAUUUCAGAUGAUCACAUCUCUAUUCUGAAGGAAAUUAUGUGAAUAUUACCUUAUGGCUCACUCUUAUAGACUAUAUAUAGCAGUUGUUGGAUUCUUUUA